ensembl:misc_RNA Metazoa_SRP Metazoan signal recognition particle RNA
GCUGGGCGUGGUGGCGUGUGCCUGUAAUCCCAGCUACUCAGGAGGCUGAGGCAGGAGAAUCGCUUGAACCCAGGAGGCGGAGGUUGCAGUGAGCCAAAAUAGUGCCACUGCACUCCAGUCUGGGUGACAGAGCAAGACUCUGUCUCAA